UACGGGGGGGGCAAGCGUUGUUCGGAAUUACUGGGCGUAAAGGGCUCGUAGGUGGCCAACUAAGUCAGACGUGAAAUCCCCAGGCUUAACCUGGGAACUGCGUCUGAUACUGGAUGGCUUGAAUUCGGGAGAGGGAUGCAGAAUUCCAGGUGUAGCGGUGAAAUGCGUAGAUAUCAGGAGGAACACCGAUGGCGAAGGCAGGUCUCUGGGCUGAUACUGACGCUCAUGCACGAAAGCGUGGGGAGCAAACAGG
rnacentral:rRNA from 1 species